rnacentral:rRNA from 1 species
AUUGAACGCUGGCGGCAUGCCUUACACAUGCAAGUCGAACGGCAGCACGGGUGCUUGCACCUGGUGGCGAGUGGCGAACGGGUGAGUAAUAUAUCGGAACGUACCUUAUUGUGGGGGAUAACGCAGCGAAAGCUGUGCUAAUACCGCAUAAUCUCUAAGGGGGAAAGCGGGGGACCGUAAGGCCUCGCGCAAUUAGAGCGGCCGAUACCUGAUUAGCUAGUUGGUGAGGUAAAGGCUCACCAAGGCAACGAUCAGUAGCUGGUCUGAGAGGACGAUCAGACACACUGGGACUGAGACACGGCCCAGACUCCUACGGGAGGCAGCAGUGGGGAAUUUUGGACAAUGGGGGCAACCCUGAUCCAGCAAUGCCGCGUGAGUGAAGAAGGCCUUCGGGUUGUAAAGCUCUUUUGUCAGGGAAGAAACAGCAGCUCUAACACAGUUUGCGAAUGACGGUACCUGAAGAAUAAGCACCGGCUAACUACGUGCCAGCAGCCGCAGUAA